rfam:Ovis aries breed Texel chromosome 11, whole genome shotgun sequence.
UCCCUGGUAGCUUAGUUGGUAAAGAAUCUACCUGCAAUGCAGGAGACCCUGGUUCAAUUCCUGGGUCGGGAA